GCGAAAGUUGCAUUACUUGUUCCAGUUCGUAAGGGUCUGCCUCCAUCAGAUGCUAUCCAGGAUAGGAGCAUAUUUGAAGGGCCUUCAUUGGCAUCUGGUUCAGAGAUAUCUGAAAUUGAAACCAUUGGUCCAGCUGGAAGGAACUCCACAUCCCCCCAUGCUUCUUCUGCGGCUCAUGUGAGGUCCAUGAGGAAGGGAUCAAGUGACCACCUUGCUCUAACUAUUGAUUCCGAAUCCGACCGUCUACUCAACCUCCCUGAAACUGAUGAUGAAAAAGGUUUGAAUGUGGUUUUAUGUACUAGAUGAUCACUUUCUUAAAGUAGUUGUUUUGAGUAGCUUUGGGUGAAUUUCAUAGCUGCUUUCUUGCUGGUCAUGUGUUCAAAUCGCUAAAUACAUCUGGCCUCGUCCCCAAACAAGGAAAGCUUUUAGCUGAUCGGAUCGAUGGGGUCUGGGUAUCUGGAGGUCGAAUUUUGAUGAGUCGUCCCAGAGCAAGAAUAUGUGUCGUAGCUUACUGUCUGUUGUUGCAUAUUUGGUUGUUAGCCAGCAUUUUGUGAUAGAAGCCUCUAACCAUUACACAUCAAACGCCUCCACAAUUCUUUACGUUACUGCAAGUUGUACUUGUAUUAUAGAUGUAAGUUGGCUCUUUCUUGUUUCAUUUCUAUUUUAUUUUUGUUUCUGGAGAAUCCAAGCUUGCAUACAAGUACAAGUAGAAAUUGUCUUAAAUUGUUCCACGUUUGAUCAUUGAAUUAUAAUCCAAAGGAAAUUUAUAUAGAAUGAGCCCUUGUAUCACUUGUACAAUUAU